rnacentral:rRNA from 1 species
CAGUAGCCGCGGGAACACAGAGGGUGCGAGCGUUAAUCGGAUUUACUGGGCGUAAAGCGUGCGUAGGCGGCUUUUUAAGUCGGAUGUGAAAUCCCUGAGCUUAACUUAGGAAUUGCAUUCGAUACUGGGAAGCUAGAGUAUGGGAGAGGAUGGUAGAAUUCCAGGUGUAGCGGUGAAAUGCGUAGAGAUCUGGAGGAAUACCGAUGGCGAAGGCAGCCAUCUGGCCUAAUACUGACGCUGAGGUACGAAAGCAUGGGGAGCAAACAGGAUUAGAUACCCGUGUAGUCCCUGUCUCUUAUAA